CCGGCGACCGGCGCACGGGUGAGUAACACGUAUGCAACCUACCUUUAACAGGGGGAUAACACUGAGAAAUUGGUACUAAUACCCCAUAAUAUCAUAGAAGGCAUCUUUUAUGGUUGAAAAUUCCGAUGGUUAGAGAUGGGCAUGCGUUGUAUUAGCUAGUUGGUGGGGUAACGGCUCACCAAGGCGACGAUACAUAGGGGGACUGAGAGGUUAACCCCCCACACUGGUACUGAGACACGGACCAG
rnacentral:rRNA from 1 species